rnacentral:rRNA from 1 species
UGCGUAGGCGGGUUGGCAAGUCGGGUGUGAAAUUCCAUGGCUUAACCAUGGAUCUGCAUUCGAAACUGCCGGUCUUGAGUACUGGAGAGGUGAGUGGAAUUCUCGGUGUAGCGGUGAAAUGCGUAGAUAUCGAGAGGAACACCGUUGGCGAAGGCGGCUCACUGGACAGAUACUGACGCUGAGGCACGAAGGCCGGGGGAGCAAACAGGAUUAGAUACCCUGGUAGUCCCGGCGGUAAACGAUGGGCACUAGGUGUCGGAGGUAUCGACCCCUCCGGUGCCGCAGUUAACACAUUAAGUGCCCCGCCUGGGGAGUACGGCCGCAAGGUUGAA